rnacentral:rRNA from 1 species
GAUCCUGGCUCAGGAUGAACGCUGGCGGCGNGCCUAACACAUGCAAGUCGAGCGAGAAGCUUUUAAAUGAUGCUUCGGUUGAUUUUAGAAGUGGAAAGCGGCGGACGGGUGAGUAACGCGUAGGCAACCUACCCUUUGCAGAGGGAUAGCCUCGGGAAACCGGGAUUAAAACCUCAUAAUACGCAAGGAAGACAUCUUACAUGCGUCAAAGAUUUAUCGGCAAAGGAUGGGCCUGCGUCUGAUUAGUUAG